rnacentral:sRNA from 1 species
UCAGUUUCCUGUCUGCAAAAGGGUUAUAAUGAUAGUACCUACCCCAUGAGGUAGUUGCAGAUUACCCAAGCCAGAGCUUUCAGCACAGCACCUCACACGUGGUAUUUAUGAAACGGUAGUCAUAUUGUUGUUAUGCAUAUUAUUGGUGCUACUAACUGUUUUUACUGUGGUAGUGCCACCUAGUGUUUUUACGUUUUACAGGGAGGCAUCUACAGAGCACAACUGCGUGAGGACAAAGAGUCGAGACCCGCUGGCCAUCUACUUCACCAGCGGAACCACCGGGGACCCCAAGAUGGUCGAGCACUCCCAGAGCAGCUACGGACUGGGUUUUGUGGCCAGCGGAAGACGGUGGGUGGCCUUGACCGAAUCGGACAUCUUCUGGAACACGACUGACACUGGCUGGGUGAAGGCAGCCUGGACUCUCUUCUCUGCCUGGCCUAAUGGAUCUUGCAUUUUUGUGCAUGAGCUGCCCCGAGUUGAUGCCAAAGUUAUCCUGAAUACUCUCUCCACAUUCCCGAUAACCACCCUCUGCUGUGUCCCAACCAUCUUUCGGCUGCUUGUGCAGGAGGAUCUGACCAGGUACCAGUUUCAGAGCCUGAGGCACUGUCUGACCGGAGGAGAGGCCCUCAACCCUGAUGUGAGAGAGAAGUGGAAACGCCAGACCGGUGUGGAGCUGUAUGAAGGCUAUGGCCAGUCUGAAACGGUUGUCAUCUGUGCCAAUCCAAAAGGCAUGAAAAUCAAGUCUGGAUCCAUGGGGAAGGCGUCCCCAC